GAGGCAGCUAGUGUUGCCAUUAAGGUCAAUGAUGAUGUUGGCCACUGUUUUCAAACAAAGAAGGGAUUGCGACAAGGUGACUCGCUAUCGCCCAUGCUAUUCAAUAUAGCGGCGGAUAUCCUUACAGUCAUGAUUGAGCGUGCCAAGGCUGAUGGACAAAUUGAUUGGGUAGUAGCAAAUCAUCUAGUUGAUGGUGGUCUCUCUUUACUUCAGUACGCCGAUGAUACGACUCUUUUCAUGAAUCAUGACCUCAAGAAAGCUAGAAAUUUGAAAUUAAUUUUGUCAGCAUUUGAACAACUCUCAAGUUUUAAGAUUAACUUGCAUAUAAGUGAAUCGUUUUGCUUUGACGAGGCUCAAGACGAAGAUCAUCCGUAUCACACAAGGACAAGUCAAAUUGACGACACCCACUGGAUCAAUCACAUCAACACACGAUGA
rnacentral:rRNA from 1 species